AUUGAACGCUGGCGGCAUGCUCUACACAUGCAAGUCGAACGGUAACAGGCCGCAAGGUGCUGACGAGUGGCGAACGGGUGAGUAAUGCAUCGGAACGUGCCCAGUCGUGGGGGAUAACUACUCGAAAGAGUAGCUAAUACCGCAUACGAUCUAUGGAUGAAAGCGGGGGACCGUAAGGCCUCGCGCGAUUGGAGCGGCCGAUGUCAGAUUAGGUAGUUGGUGGGGUAAAGGCUCACCAAGCCAACGAUCUGUAGCUGGUCUGAGAGGACGACCAGCCACACUGGGACUGAGACACGGCCCAGACUCCUACGGGAGGCAGCAGUGGGGAAUUUUGGACAAUGGGCGCAAGCCUGAUCCAGCAAUGCCGCGUGCAGGAAGAAGGCCUUCGGGUUGUAAAAUGCUUUUGUACGGAACGAAACGGCUCUGGUUAAUACCCGGGGCUAAUGACGGUACCGGAAGAAUAAGCACCGGCUAACUACGUG
rnacentral:rRNA from 1 species